rnacentral:rRNA from 1 species
UCUUCCGCAAUGGACGAAAGUCUGACGGAGCAACGCCGCGUGAGUGAUGAAGGUUUUCGGAUCGUAAAGCUCUGUUGGUAGGGAAGAACAAGUACCGUUCGAAUAGGGCGGUACCUUGACGGUAACUAACCAGAAGGCCACGGCUUACUACGUGCCAGCAGCUGCGGUAAUACGUAGGUGGCAAGCGUUGUCCGGACUUUUUGGGCGUAAAGGGCUCGCAGGCGGUUUCUUAAGUCUGAUGUGAAAGCCCCCGGCUCAACCGGGGAGGGUCAUUGGAAACUGGGGAACUUGAGUGCAGAAGAGGAGAGUGGAAUUCCACGUGUAGCGGUGAAAUGCGUAGAGAUGUGGAGGAACACCAGUGGCGAAGGCGACUCUCUGGUCUGUAACUGACGCUGAGGAGCGAAAGCGUGGGGAGCGAACAGG